AUGCACCCAAUCUUGAAUAUUUCUCAAAGAUCAAGCCCAAACCUUCAUCGACCUAGAAUUUACAGAAUUCAAAUUCUGGAUGCAAUGACAAUCGUUAGCAUGCGGAUGGGCCAACCGUCACACUUCUAUGCCUUGACGGGUGUCAACUAUAUGAAGGUUUUUCCGCCAUGCUUCCCAAACCCUGGUGGGCAUCAUUCAGUGUUUACUUGUGACUCCUUGAACUAUUUCCAUGUGACUACCAUCAUGUCCAUGACUGCGAAACCGUCACCCUAUUUGGAUGAUCGAUCUAUAGCUAAAGGUAAAAGAAAGAUGGCUUGA